ensembl:lncRNA
CAAAAGCUUUCUUGAGGAGGUCGGUAAACAUGGCAGUGACUGUCCCAGUCUGCGUGGCUUUUCUUCUGAGAUAAACAACGCGGUACAAAAUAGCUGACGUUUCACGUGCUGCAGUUGCAGCAUCUUCCUCUGAAGGAGCACUGCGGUUAAUGAUGCACGCACGUGGUCAUACCCAGGAGAUGCACAGGGUGAGGUCCCACCAGGACACCCCUCACCACGGGGAUGCAGCAGUUGAUUCUGGGGUCCCGUGGCAGCUCCACAUCCACAGUGACCAAAGGGCCCACAGGGACAGUGGCCCUGGAGGUAGCUGGUGACUGAAGACUGCUGGAUUGCUCCAUACCUGGAUGAGAUGUGUGAGGUCGCCGGGGAUGCUGGUGGCUGUGGGUCUCCUGAUGACCACAGCCAAGGCAGGCCAGGUUGGAUGGGGCCUUGGCAACCUGAGCUGGAUUUCAGCCUCCAGAUUUCAGCCCCCCAAAUGUGCCAAGCGUGAACCUUCAGCGAGAGCUUCAUCCACGCAACCCAUGCUGGACUAACUCAUCCCAGUCCAACCGUUCCCUGCAGCAGGAGUUUUGCGUUCAUGGAAGCACCUGGUGUAUUAGAAGUUGGUUUUGGAAUGCACUCACAGUGCCAACAGCCACAGUGACCGUCCUGCUGCCGGGCUGAGCAGUGGGGGGCUCUGCACUGGGGGAUGGAGCCUGAGCUGUGGCCUUGGGACCUGGCUGAGUUUCCCUGCUUCCAGCUGGGGGAUGGGGACAUCAGGAACAGGACCCAUCUAGGAACAGGAGCAGGUGCUGCCUUGCUUACCAUGGGGCUUUAAAGGCCAGGCUCACCCCAGCAAGGCAGUGGGUCCUCAGUUAGCUGCCCAGCUCCUUGUAAGGUCAUAUUUGUCAUCUCAAAAUACAGUUUGCUGUAGAACAGAGAAUAUUUAGAAGGGAUUUGAUAAGUAACAUCUGCUGCUGUACUGAAAUUUCAGUUCGAAGUGCUAAAAACUUUAAAAAGAAAGAGGUUUGGGUAAAAAUAAAAGGUCUCUGGAGAGGUCUCCUUGGCAGGAUCCUCCUCUCCUCCUUACACACAGCAGAUUUGUUCAUGUUUGCCAUUAUCCAUCAAACCAGAGCGCAGCAAAGGGCAGCUUUCAAGAGAUGAACCUGGAGGAGAUAAUAUUUCACACCGCAUAAAAUGCACCUCGGGAAUUUUCAGUUCUUCUUCCCUGUUACAUUACAAGGGCCUUCAUAAAAAGUGUCACAGCUCACGAGCUAAAAAAGAAAAAGAAGAAAAGAGAAAAAAAAAAAAAAAAGCAGCAGCUUGUGGCUUUGGAUGCAUUCAGUGCGCGUUUGUGGUCGGCGUUUCCCAGGCUGCUCGGGGGUGAGCGCCAGGUCGGCCCUCGCACGGCGCUCUGCAGGCGCUGUUUCUGUAUGAGUGAUAGCAGGCACUGAACGGCAGCACUGCGGCUGAAGGCUCCAUCCUGCCCAGGGGGUUGGGAUGGGGAUGCAGCUCCCAGCCGCCCCGCUGCUGCUGCUGUGUUCAAUGAGGUGGGAGUGGGCGCUAACCCGGGGUUUGAGGGAUAUAAGUAGGUUUUGCCUCCUCUAACGGAGAGGUUUGGCUUCAUCCUCGUUCAACUUCACUGCCACAAGGUGAGAUGGGGAACGGAUGGGUGAGCGUACAAAUGAGGAGGUGCUGCAGAGCAGCCUCAGUGCACAAUGUGGGGCAAUGUAAGUCACCGAGUGCUGCCGUAGGAAGAGGUGGGAGGCUCUGGUUUGGCAGUUACUAUAGCAAUUAACCCAAGCCCAGGGUUCCCCUGGGUACAGCCCUGGCGGUGCCUGCAUGCUCGCUGCAGAUGGGUUGUUGUGGUGCUGGGGUGUACUUGUGUGCUUGAUCUGUGUGUAAACACAAGAAGGCAGAUAUACAAACACUGCCCUGCACUCAACCUGGCUGCUCUAAAACAAACCAUCAUUAGAGGGAGGCAGUCCAGGAGGUCCAACCCUGACGCACACGGCUGUGCCUGCUGCCAGCCUGCUGCACCGAUGUGUCUUGCUUCCACAGAGCUCAAUUCACCGCACCAGAAGUAGUCCUAAAACCCAACACAAGGGACAGAUCCUUUGGUUUUCCAUAUUUUCUCCCCUGGGUAGGAAACAGGUCAGGUCUGCCAGCAGAACAGACCGCAGCAGAUGGGUUGCUUUCCUACUGCACUUUUUUGCAUGAAGGAAGAUGAUACCUUACACGUGAGGUGCCACCUCAGUCAGUCACUGCACAAUGCCUUUCCUUGUCCCCUCCAUGCCCUCAGCAGUCAGACAUCUGACUCCGAUUGCUCUCUUUCCCACUUGAUGUAAGGAGUAUUGUGCACGAAGAGAAGUGCACGGAGGUGAAACCCUCUGAGAAACAUUGCGGCCACUUCUCUUUUCCCAUCAGCAGAUAUUGCUUCAGUUCCCAUUUCCUACUAUUGACUUUUGUUGCCUUUGGGCCCUGAUCACUGGCUGCUUGCUAAGGAUUUCUGAGCCUUGGACCAUGACCUAAUUUCACUAUUUAAAAACAGAUCUUCAGUAUUCCUAUUGUGCUUUGUCUUUGAAUGGGCAUUUCUGCAAAACAGUUCCAUUUUCUCUGCCUGCAAGCAACACAAGAUCGAGCAAGGCGCUCACACCGUGGUACCAGCAGGGCCCAGCCAUGGGAACAAUCCCUGUCCCCCCCAUCCGGAGCCCUCUGCCCACCUCCCUCCGAUCAGACCCCGUGCUCCCCCCAGCCCUUCAUCUUAAAGAAAAACACCACAAUCACCACUGUGUAUCUCAGACGCCCUGCAAAAGCUGUGAGUUGCAGACCGCCAGAAAACUGCUCAGACGGUCACAGCGGCUGAGCAAUGCUGGCUCUCACCAUCACCGCUCCGCUGCCGUCCUGCUGCUGCUGCCCCAGGCCCUGCGACCUUUGCAGUGAUUAUUUUCGGUCCUGCGGAAAAGGAAAUAGGAAGUAGAGCCACUCAGAUGUGUUUUCGCACACCGCGGGGCUCUCCCAUGCUCAGACAGCACUGCUCGCUCUGCGGAGAGCUCUCGUUGCCAUUUAUUCGCUCUGGGAUGUUGCAAUCAGACCAAAACGGCAGCGCGGCUACCUGAGGGUGGAAGUGGCUGAGGAAGCAGAGAGCAGUCCCGGCAGUGGGGAUGCACCGCUGAGGUCAGAGUGGGACACAGCUUGAAAGAUGAGCACGGCUGGGCUCCAGGGCUUGGGCUGCAACCACCCUGCUGUUCUGGAGCCUCUGAUGCCUGGCUCAGAAACGUAUCUAAGGAGGUUUGUGUGUUCUUGUUCAAACUGCACUCAUUCUUGGCCUUAAUCCCACCUUCCCCUCCAACAGACAGGCUUUGGGUUUGGCUCUGCUUGCUGCCACACAGCGGUGCUGAGGACUGCCUCUGCUCAGCAUUAAUAGAGGGUCUGAGCAGCUCUGGUGGGUGCCCAAAAAGGACAGGGACCAGCUCCAGGCACAAGGCAAAACGGAGCUUCUGCUCCCCAUUACUUCCUUAUGCAUUCAUAUACAGAGGACAACGGUGUGGAGGCCAACAAGUUCAGAGGUGCUGCACACCUCCUUCCAGCUCUGCUCAUCAGCCUCACCUCCCGUUUUCUUCAUCAACAAGUGAGGAAUGGUCUGGUGUGCUUGUUCUAGAAAUAAUGUGCAUUCCAAGGCACUUCCCACACUGCAUAGAGGCAGAGGGACUCUUUUACUUUGGUUUUCUGCAUCUAGAUUGUUCCACUGAGGAGGAUUCUUGAGAAAUUAAAGCCAUUUGUGUGCAUGGCUGCAGCACUAAUAAAACCCAAAUGUGGGCAGAGGUUCUAGGAGCUUUGCUCUUGGUGACUUGCCUUGUCUCAGAUAGCAAAUUUAAGGCUUUAACAUGAAAUAAUUUGGCAGAAAAGCCACACAGAGACUGAUGGUGACUCAGCUCUGCUGCCGAAGGCGCGUAGAGGGCACUGGCUGGGAGCUCUGCUGUGUGUGCAGAACAUGAGAGCUGUGCUGGCAGAGCUGUGAGCGUGGGGGAGCAGAAGGAGCUGACUGAAGUACCAGCAAAACUUUACAAGAACUCAGCUCAGCUGAAGGGAUGCUGGAGGAGGCAGCUGCUGGUAACAGAGAUAGGAAACAGGUGGUAAAUCAGUGCCUAAUGAGGGGAGAGCAAAGAACAGCCUCAGUUGUGGUUACCUGUCCUGUGUUGGAGGAAUGGAGCAGAGCUGCAUGAAGGUCGGUGAUCUCUUCUUUGCGUUUGCUGGCUGUGGGCUUGGUGGGAUGAUGGAAGAAUGCCUGGAAGGUAAUGGCAAAAAUAAAUUCUUGCUCUGUCUGACCUGUGGGGCUGUGAGUGAUGGAGAUCAGGUGGUGGUGGUGGUGGUAGGAUGCAGAGUGAGAGGGAAGGAAGAAGACUGGUUAGCUUGGAUCCUCAGCAUGGCCUUAUGCCCUCAGGCAGCACCUCGGCUUGCAGCAAGUAUGAGGCAGAGGGCAGCAGCAAGGUGUGCUCUGGAAAUGCUCUGCUGGAAUGUGGUUUGGGCCAGGGGGAUGUUGGCAGUGUGAGCAUUUCCACUGCCACCUCCCUGAGCACUGCGGGCUGUUGUCAGCAGCGGAAUCACAAACAGCCACAAAGGACGCGCCCUGAUUUAUGCAUCAAAUACCAGGAAAGGCUUAAAUUCUGUUUGUCACUCAGCAGAUGGUGACGGUUGCCCCAGUAUGUGAAAUAUUUCAUGCCUGACACCUCAAUUCAGGAAACAGUGGUUUGCUCAGCAGAGGCGCAGGAGGCAGCGAGCUGUUAUCGAGGGUAACAUUGCCCUUUGCUUCUUUCUCUCUGCUGACAGAGUUUGUUUUCUAGAGCAGUGCUGUGCCCAUGGGCACAUGCAGUGGGGCACACCCCCAAACCGUGUUGGUUUUUUGGGUGUUUGGUACCAUAGUGAGUUCGUUUUCCUGCAGGGCCUGGCUGCUGCCUGCAGCCCUCACUUGCUGGGUUCCUGUUCCCUGGGCACCUCGUGCCUGAGGUUUGCUGAACCACAGAGAGCUCAUUGCAAAACUGGGCCGUGGAAAUCGCCCCUGGUGCUCUGAGCUGUUGUCCUGUAAGGCUGGAGCAAAGCCCUUACAGAGAAGGCAGCAGCAGGGGGGUGCUGCACCAUCCUCUCACCUCCCACCUGUGCCCUGGAGGUCCAGUGCCUCAAAGCAGAACCAAGCAAAGGAAGGUAGGCAUCUUCCUCCUUAUUCUCACCUGGGUUAUCUUCCUGCAUGUCCUUACACAGGCCAUGCUAUGACCAGAACUUCCUCUUGUGCAGACAGAGGAUGUGCUGCUCUCAACCUUGGAGGUGCUUCCUGGUUUCCCAGGGGGUUGGCAACACCGUAACCCAUCUGGAGGUGGUUGUGCAGCUGUGGAGGUGCAGGGCUUUGCUCCAUGGUGCACAGACCAACAACCUUUGUGCUGUGCCCUCUGAACCCCCUGCAGGUGCCCCAAAUCCCAGUGUCACCUCAUCAGGGAGAAGGAACAGCCACCAGAACUGGAGGACGCCCCACAAACACAGCAGCCCUGGCCCA